UCACAUACCUCUAAAUUCACCCAACUGCGUAGAAGCAAAAUCUGGGUGGCCGCCGUCAAGUACCGCCGUUCGUCUUCAUUCAAAGAUGUACCGUUGGUUUGGGAGGUCUCGCGAGAUCUCGCACAGUGUCCCUUCCCGGGCACCGUACAAUCCCGCCACUGAAUGUAUAGAUACCGGAAGCUUGCGAGCGGUAAAACUGGUUACGGCGUGUUUAGGUUAUAGCAUGGAUGCUGAGGACAUUUGCGUGAGAUAGCGUUGCUUGCCCAGUCUAGUUGACUAACGUUAGCUACGUUACAAGACAGUUACAGUAAUAGCUAUGUCGAAAAGAAAACACAACGUUACUCUCAACACGAAAGAAAAAGAUUGGUUGAGAGAAAACGUUCCAAGACGUACUUUGACAAGAUGGAAAAAAAGGAAAAUCAACAGAACUUUGACUGACAUUGAAAAACACACUGCUCAACGACAUGAAAUUGAUGAAGGUGCCAGCCAAAGCGAAGAGCAGAGAGCAGAGCCUUUCACAUUAACACAGGAAAUUGAUGAAGAUGCCAGCCAAAGCGAAGAGCAGAGAGCAGAGCCUUUCACAUCAACACAGGAAAUUGAUGAGGAUGCCAGCCAAAGCGAAGAGCAGAGAGCAGAGCCUUUCACAUCAACACAGGAAAUUGAUGAAGAUCCCAGCCAAAGCGAAGAGCAGAGAGCAGAGCCUUUCACAUCAACACAGGACAAUGUACCUCAAGCAAUAGAUGAUGUCCACACCCAAGGACUAACGGAAGAGCAAAGUUGCAUCUCGAUUCUCUCCUUUGCAUUGAGACACAACACUACAGGUGUAUUGAUGGAAGACCUGCUGAAACUUUUAAAGUUACAUUCUGCUGGGACAAGUGCAAUUCCAGCAAGCAAGUAUUUUUUGGGGAAACCAUUAGCUGGUAUUGUAGAUCAAUUUGAACACCAUCAUUACUGCAGCGUAUGUACUAAGUACCUUGGCACUUCACAGUCACAAGAAGAAACACUUACAUGCGUGUCAUGUUCCUCAUCCAUAACAGUAAAAGCCAGUUUACACGAAGGACAUUUCUUUAUCAGUAUUCCAUUAAAGGGCCAACUGAAAGAUAUUCUUGAGAAUCAGGGUAUGCAUGAUCUCUGUUUUCCUGCUGAUGACAGUAGUAGAGAAGUAAUAAAUGAUAUAUGUGAUGGCACCUUAUAUCAGGCCUUGCAGUCAAACAGUGAAGUGGAUUUCCUUUCCCUUACAUUUAAUUGUGAUGGUGUACCAGUCUUUCAGUCCUCUAAAUUUAGUAUUUGGCCAAUACUGUGUUGUGUUAAUGAGAUACCCCCUCAGUGCAGAGAUAAGCAUGUACUUUUAUGUGCUUUGUGGUUCGGUUCCAAAAAGCCAGACAUGACCUGUUUCUUCAAACCAUUUGUGGAGGAAUGUGCCAAUCUUUCAAAAACUGGUUUUAAGUGGCAUCAUCCUAUUGAUCAGUCAUGGAGAAAUGUGAAGGUGCACCCAUUGUGCUGUGUGUGUGAUGCAGUAGCAAGGCCUUUACUACAGAAUUUUAAGCAAUUUAAUGGUGAAUAUGGCUGUGGAGUCUGCCUUCACCCUGGGGUGCAAAUGAGGAAAGGACAAGGAAACUCAAGAGUUUACACAUGUUCAGCUGAAAAACCAAGUGACAGAAAUCACAAAACCACAGUAGAAAUAGGACAAAUUGCUGAAAGAGAAGGGAAGACUAUAUUGGGCAUAAAGGGCCCAUCUGCUAUUGUAGAUUUAGCAAAGUUUGAUCUAAUCAAUGGGAUGGUCCCUGACUAUAUGCACUGUGUGUUGCUUGGCGUGUGUAGACAAAUGGCGACUUUAUGGAUCGAUUCUAAGAGCUAUUCUGAGCCAUGGUACAUUGGCACACAAACAGCAAUCAUGGACAGACACCUCUUGUCUAUAAAACCACCAGGUAUUGUUGCUCGAGUUCCAAGAUCUCUCACUGAACGCAAGUUCUGGAAAGCCCACGAGUGGCAACACUGGCUUCUGUAUUAUAGCUUGCCAGUUCUGAAAGGCAUACUUCCACAGAAGUAUCACUCUCAUUGGGCGUUACUGAUAGAGGGCAUAAGCAUUCUGUUGGGAUCUGAAUUAAGUACAGAGCAGAUAAAUCACGCCCAUGACGCAUUAGUGUACUUUGUUGGAGGUGUGCAAGCGCUGUAUGGGGAAGAGCACAUGACAUUCAAUGUUCAUUCACUUCUGCAUUUAAGCCAAAGUGUUGUGCAUUGGGGUCCAUUGUGGGCCCACUCAGCCUUUAUGUUUGAAGCUUUCAAUGGAUACCUACUGAAACAAGUAAAAAGUAGUCAAGCUGUACCACAACAAAUAUGCAAACGAGUGAUGUUGUCCCGUGCUUUUCCCCGUUUAGCAAAACAAUUCCUAACAAAUGCACCAGCAGAGGUUAAAGAUUUCUGUAAUGAAAUGAGAACCGAAAAGCAUCAUGUCAAGAAGUUUGCAAAGUUUGCUGAGGUGACUGCCCUUGGUCCACCAAAUGUAAGAUUAAUAUCUGUUGGUGAUCAAGCUGCCCUCCACACAGUGAAACAGGUUCCCACAAACUAUGUGGUGAAUUACUACAAGAGAAUUGCUGUAAAUGCAGAAGUUGUACAUGGUCAUACCUACAGCAAAACAAAACAAAGAAACAACUCUAUUGUGCUUUUGAAGGAUGGGAGUAUUUUUAGAGUCUCCCACUUUAUUGACAUUGGUGAUCAGUGUUUAUAUGCCAUAGGGAACUAUGGUAAAUGCACAGUGCAGAAGUUAGCCAGAGGUUCUCUUAUCAAAACUCCACUGAGCUACAUGUCAACGGUGCACUUUCCCACAGGCUUUCACAAAGCCAUAAACACUACUCAGGUAGUUGGACCAUGUAUGUAUAUUCAGUGUCCACAAUCCAGCUCGUUUGUGUGUCGGCUGCUGAAGACAUAUUAUUGUAAAUGAAUGAUUGUGAACUAAAUGUGAAGAUGGUCACCUAUUAAUUUAGGGUCGCUGAGCUGGAAAGUAACUAAUUGCUAUUACUGUUACUGUAAUUGAGUGUAAUUGUACUGUGACUGAACUGUACGUUCUUUAACUUUAAGGUGAGAAACACAAAUCUAUUACCAAUGUAACUAUGAUGAAAUGGCAUAUAUCAGAAUGACAAAUACAUUUAUUCUUCUUUGAUACCUUUGCAAUGCAUGUCAUCAACUUGUAUGUAUUUCAAUGUAACGUCCAAAAAGAGACAAGUGCAAAACAACUUAAAGUUGCAUCUUAAUCAACUUGGGUCAGUUGGGUCAUGUAAAAAGAAAAAAAAUCCAUUGCCACUUUUCUGAAUUUUAAGUAAAUAUGCAACUUGUGUAAUGUCAUUUGCUAAUUUUGUGAAAAAUUAAAAUCUUUCUACAGCAAGAAAGGAGGGAGU
rnacentral:lncRNA from 1 species